GGUGGCCGCACCGUGACGCCCUGGCGUGUGCGUGGGUGCCGCGCUCCCUGUGUCUGCGGCGCCUUCACACCAAGGAUUCACGGAGCGUCUGCCCCGGGACCCUGAUGAGCCCGUGCAGGGCCCCCGGCCCGGAGCCCGGCUGAGGGACACGGCCACUGUCAGCGCCUCUGUGCUGCUCAUUUCCAUCUCCAGCUCCCCCUGAACAAGAGCAGAAGCUCCCCUCCACUCCCAGCUCAGCUCAGCCACUGCCCCACGGAAGCGCCCGGGCCGUCCAGGAAGGAAGGAGACGGGGAGAAACUGGGCUGCGGUGACAGGACUCUUUUCGGGGGACCGAGGGGGGCCAGCCUGUCACUUGGUCCUGUCACAGGAGGUGGCCUGGGAGGUGCACAGCCACUGGGAGGGCCAGCCAUGGGGACCCCACCUCGCCUUGAGCGCCUCUGUUUGAGAACCCAGAAUCCACGCUGCACCGGCGGGAGCCAGCGAGGCAGUGAGCAGGGGCCGCUUUCUCCCCUCAGUCACAGACCUAGUAGUGUUAUUGAUUUGCUGUAACAAUAAACAUCGACUUGUUUUUUGUUUUGUUUUU